rnacentral:rRNA from 1 species
GAUUAAGGGCGCGCGGUGGAUGCCUAGGCUCUCGGAGGCGAAGAAGGACGCGAUAAGCCGCGAUAGUCCACGGCGAGGUGCAAGUAACCCUUGACCCGUGGGUUUCCGAAUGGGGCAACCCGGCCGUCUAGAUGACGGUCAUGCAUUAUCAUGCAGGCGAACGCGGGGAACUGAAACAUCUCAUUACCCGCAGGAGAAGAAAACAACAUGUGAUUCCCCCAGUAGUGGCGAGCGAACGGGGAAGAGCCCAAACCGCUGCCGUUUCGGCGACAGCGGGGUCAUGGGACCGCGACAUUCGACGUGAGACGAAGUGCAAUUACCUGGAAAGGUAAGCCGUGGAGGGUGACAGCCCCGUGCACGACACCUCUCACGAAGAUAGCGGUAUCCCGAGUAGGGCGGGACACGAGAAAUCCUGCCUGAAUUCGCCAGGACCUCCUGGCAAGGCUAAAUACUCCCGAGAGACCGAUAGUGAACCAGUACCGCGAGGGAAAGGUGAAAAGUACCCCGAGCAGGGGGGUGAAAUAGACCCUGAACCCGCGCGCCUACAAGCGGUCGGAGCCACGCGAUGUGGUGACGGCGUGCCUUUUGCAUAAUGAGCCUACGAGUUAGUCGUCACCAGCGAGGUUAAGGGCUUCAGGCCCGUUAGCCGAAGUGAAAGCGAGCCUUAACAGGGCGUCGAGUUGGUGGCGCUAGACGCGAAACCUUGUGAUCUACCCACGAGCAGGUUGAAGUCGCGGUAACGCGUGAUGGAGGACCGAACCGGUAAACGUUGAAAAGUUUUCGGAUGACUCGCGGGUAGGGGUGAAAGGCCAAUCAAACUGGGAAAUAGCUCGUACUCUCCGAAAUGCAUUUCGGUGCAGCCUGUGAUGUUCUGUUCCAGAGGUAGAGCUACUGGUUGGACGCGAGGGCUUCACCGCCUAUCAAAUCCGGAUAAACUCCGAAUGCUGGAACACGAAAUCAUGGAGUGAGCCCGCGGGUGCUAAGGUCCGCGGACGAGAGGGAAAGAACCCGGACCACCGGCUAAGGUCCCGGAUGGACAGUUAAGUUGAUCAAACGAGGUGGGAUCGCGGAGACAGCUAGGAUGUUGGCUUGGAAGCAGCCAUUCAUUUAAAGAGUGCGUAACAGCUCACUAGUCGAGCGAUCCCGCGUGGAUAAUACACGGGCAUCAAACUGUCAACCGAAGCCGUGGGGUUAGCUUUAUUGCUAACCGGUAGGAGAGCAUUCCUGCCAGCUUUGAAGGUCACCCGCGAGAGUGACUGGAGCGGCAUGAAAAGCAAAUGUAGGCAUAAGUAACGAUAAUGGGGGCGAGAACCCCCCACGCCGCAAGACCAAGGCUUCCCCGGCAAUGUCAAUCAGCCGGGGGUCAGCCGGCCUCUAAGGCUAACCCGAAGGGGGAUGCCGACGAGAAACGGGUUAACAUUCCCGUGCUUCUCGUCACCGUGACGCGGUGACGGGGUGAUGAAUGGACCGCGCGCAGACGGAAUAGCGCGUUGAAGGCCGUACCCUUUGAGGGUGGUAGUCAAGCACGCCACCGGAGGCGACAGCCGAUAGUACCUCGAGGCCUCGGCCGAGGGGAUAGCGUCCAGGCAAUUAACCCCCUAGAAAACCCGCUAAACUUCAAGUGACGAGGAACCGUACCGUAAACGGACACACGUGGUCGGGUAGAACAUACCAAGGCGCUCGAGUGAUUCAUGGUCAAGGAACUAGGCAAAAUAGUCCUGUAACUUAGGGAUAAAGGACGCUCUAGUGAUAGAGCCGCAGAGAAAUGGCCCAGGCGACUGUUUACCAAAAACACAUGGCUAUGCCAAAUCGAAAGAUGACGUAUAUGGCCUGACACCUGCCCGGUGCCGGAAGGUUAAGAGGAGAGCUCAUCAGUAAUGAGAAGGUUUGAAUUGAAGCCCCGGUAAACGGCGGCCGUAACUAUAACGGUCCUAAGGUAGCGAAAUUCCUUGUCGGGU